UAUUCUGCCCUACAGGGAAGGAUGAGAAGCUUCGACUAAGGUUCGACUCGAGCGAAGCGAGAGAACGUUGCCGCAGGCAACGGCCCGAAGGCGAGGCGCUUUAGCGCCGAGUAAUCCUUCCCCCACCACUG
rnacentral:sRNA from 1 species